AACGAACGCUGGCGGCGCGCUUAACACAUGCAAGUCGAACGAGAAAGGGGAGCAAUCCCUGAGUAAAGUGGCGUACGGGUGAGUAACACGUGGAUGAUCUACCUCUUGGUGGGGAAUACCUCUGGGAAACCGGAGACAAUACCGCAUAAGCUCGAGAGAGGAAACCCGAAAGGGGCCGAGAGAGGAGUCCGCGGCCGAUUAGCUAGUUGGUAGGGUAAGAGCCUACCAAGGCGAAGAUCGGUAGCCGGCCUGAGAGGGCACACGGCCACACUGGCACUGAAACACGGGCCAGACUCCUACGGGAGGCAGCAGUGGGGAAUCUUGCACAAUGGGGGAAACCCUGAUGCAGCGACGCCGCGUGAGCGAUGAAGCCCUUCGGGGUGUAAAGCUCUUUCGACGGGAACGAUAAUGACGGUACCCGGAGAAGAAGCUGCGGCUAACUACGUGCCAGCCGCCGCCGUAAUAC
rnacentral:rRNA from 1 species